rnacentral:rRNA from 1 species
GGGUUCUGAGAGGAAGGUCCCCCACAUUGGAACUGAGACACGGUCCAAACUCCUACGGGAGGCAGCAGUGAGGAAUAUUGGUCAAUGGGCGAGAGCCUGAACCAGCCAAGUAGCGUGCAGGAUGACGGCCCUCUGGGUUGUAAACUGCUUUUAGUUGGGAACAAAAAAGGCGACGUGUCGCCUCUGGAGUGUACCAUCAGAAAAAGGACCGGCUAAUUCCGUGCCAGCAGCCGCGGUAAUACGGAAGGUCCAGGCGUUAUCCGGAUUUAUUGGGUUUAAAGGGAGCGUAGGCGGACGAUUAAGUCAGCUGUGAAAGUUUGCGGCUCAACCGUAAAAUUGCAGUUGAAACUGGUUGUCUUGAGUGCACGCAGGGAUGUUGGAAUUCAUGGUGUAGCGGUGAAAUGCUUAGAUAUCAUGAAGAACUCCGAUCGCGAAGGCAUAUGUCCGGAGUGCAACUGACGCUGAGGCUCGAAAGUGCGGGUAUCGAACAGGAUUAGAUACCCUGGUAGUCCGCACAGUAAACGAUGAAUACUCGCAGUAUGCGAUAUAGUGUAUGCUGCCAAGUGAAAACGUUAAGUAUUCCACCUGGGGAGUACGCCGGCAACGGUGAAACUCAAAGGAAUUGACGGGGGCCCGCACAAGCGGAGGAACAUGUGGUUUAAUUCGAUGAUACGCGAGGAACCUUACCCGGGCUUGAACUAAGCAGGAAGAUGGGCAGAGACGCCCGUUGUCUUCGGACCUGCUUGGAGGUGCUGCAUGGUUGUCGUCAGCUCGUGCCGUGAGGUGUCGGCUUAAGUGCCAUAACGAGCGCAACCCUUCUCCACGUUUGCCAUCAGGUUGUGCUGGGCACUCCGUGGAUACUGCCAUCGUAAGAUGUGAGGAAGGUGGGGAUGACGUCAAAUCAGCACGGCCCUUACGUCCGGGGCUACACACGUGUUACAAUGGCCGGUACAGAGGGAAGCCACCAGGCGACUGGGCGCUGAUCCAUUAAAACCGGUCUCAGUUCGGACUGGAGUCUGCAACCCGACUCCACGAAGCUGGAUUCGCUAGUAAUCGCGCAUCA